rnacentral:rRNA from 1 species
GUGAGGAAUAUUGCGCAAUGGGCGAAAGCCUGACGCAGCAACGCCGCGUGGAGGAUGACGGCCUUCGGGUUGUAAACUCCUGUUGCAGGAGACGAAUUGUGUGGAAUCGAACAGGUUCUGCGCUUGACGGUACCCUGUGAGGAAGCUCCGGCUAAUUCCGUGCCAGCAGCCGCGGUAAUACGGAAGGAGCAAGCGUUGUUCGGAAUUACUGGGCGUAAAGGGCGUGUAGGCGGUCUAGUGAGUCGCGGGUGAAAUUCUAAAGCUUAACUUUGGGACUGCCUGCGAUACUGCUAGACUAGAGCACAAAAGAGGAGAGCGGAAUUCCCGGUGUAACGGUGGAAUGUGUAGAUAUCGGGAAGAACACCUGUGGCGAAGGCGGCUCUCUGGUUUGAUGCUGACGCUAAGGCGCGAAAGCGUGGGGAGCAAACAGGACUAGAAACCCCAGUAGUCC